AUCUUUUACCUUGAGUUUUAGAUGUUGAUAUCCGGAACCAUAUCAUAUAUGUUUAGGUUUGUAGUAAUGUAGUUUUAACUGGUCCUAAUGAAUUAGUCCCUCAUUGAAUUCUGGGGUGAUUAAUAGAAUUUGUUCGCUCUAGUGUCAAUGUUGGGUAAAGUUAAUAGGAUGCGUUUAGGUUAAUUGUUGUUUAUGGUUCUUAGUUAUAUUGUGUUAAGGGUUGUUAAUACACACCUGUAAUUUAGUUUUAAUCAUGGGUUUACUAACACUUGAGAAUGUAGAUAGUAAGUAGUGUUAAGAGUUAACUUACUCUAUAAGGUUGUAUAAUUAUAUUUAGAAUGUUAGUGAUUAACGCGUAAUUAUUUGUUUUUCUCUAUCUUUGGUUUUACUAAAUUAAAGUAAAUUAUCUUGUUGAAUAACUUAUGUCAGUCAGUUACGUAUGUCGGUUAGUUACACAUCCCUUCUAUGUUCUAUACUUUCUGCAAGUACCAUUAAAGAUAUCUCGCGUGGCCUCUAUACUGUCUGUAUGACUUCGUCCUGAUUUUUGUUCUGUCUCCUCAGCAAAUAGUAUGGCUGUUGAGCCUACCAAAAUUAUGGUUUUAUACCACAACGUUUCUCCUUUACGGUGUCCAUCCUCAGGUUCGCCUAGCGUCAGUUAGUUUUGGAAAAUAAAAAAAAAAAAGGAAACUUGUAGAGUUUUCCUUUUUUUGCUGGAGAAGAGGGAGAAUGUAGCGAUCACGCUACUAAUUAAAUUACUUUAAUUAAAAAUUGGAUUAAAAUAUACCCCUCUACAAAAUCCUUGGGUGACGCCCGCGAAGAUCCAACUACGAUUUUUCGGUGCACAGGCGCGCCAAUAGAAAGAAAAUCGAUGAUUGUCGAUUUCUAGUUUAGUUGGUCACGAACUCACAAAGAGGCAACACAUCGUCAUUACUUAGGUGACGGAGUUUGGGCAAAAUUGGGAAAAUAUAUAACUAAAAGACCUCGAACAUCAGCCAAUAACCCAUACUAAUAAUAAUCAAGCAGUAGUUAUAUCUGGAGACUUAUUUACAAGAAAGGAAAAAGGUUAUAAUACCGCCGAUGUGUUGCUUUGCUCAAAUUCCGUCCCGUAGCUACUUGUCACAUAGACACUUAGCCUAGUCAAUUUAGAUAGAUUGUAUCAUCAUUUAAUGUGCCAUCAUAUAAAUAUGUGCCAGUUACUGUAAGCAGCUAGGGUAUGGGUUACCCCUAGAGUUACUUUUGAUUGGAUUGGAUAGUACCUAUUUCACAACAUCCAGGAUUGGAUUUAUCACCACAGCAGCCCACUAGUUUUUGCCGUGCCAAGAGGAAAUUCAUUCCUAUCUGGACCUUUUUAAAUAGGACUUGUGGUUAAGAUAAGUUGUUUAAUCUUAUUAUUUACAUAUUUUGGGUACUCUAUAGUUGCUUGCACUGUAAACUUCUUGUAUGCAUACAAUUGAGGUAAACUAGGUACAUAUUUCUUGAUAGAUAGGGUUUUAGGUCGUUGGUUUUUUUUUUUUUAAUUUAAUAGAAGUAGUAGUUUCCAAUAAAUAAAAUUAGGUCUUGUUCAAUAAUCAUUAUAAAUAAUAAUUGUAGCUUAAAAAUUUGAUAGGGAAGGGGUCGUUAAAGGUUUGUCGCGGAUUUCAAAUAGGGAAUAUGUCUUGUAGGUUUUUACAUUGUAUAUAAAGAGUAACUGACCAACUCAUUUAUACAACUCAUUUAUAUCACUCAUUUAUAUAACUCAUUUAUAUAACUCAUUAUAUAUUUACUUAUUAGUGUUUUUGCUAGGUGAGAUCUUUAUUAUUUUUACCAACCGUAGCGUUCUUGUUGUGGAUCUCACUCUAGCGUAGUUCAAUUUAGGAAAUAAUUACUAACUUUUUAGUUGUAAGGACUUAGUGCUAUUCUGACGGACUUUUGAUUUGGAUUUUGAUUUUAAUACUUUUGCUUGGCCAGUGAUAGUGGAUAAUUGCUUGUUGAGUGGCCUUUGCGGUCCUAUUUUAUCUUUUCCCCAUCCACUAUCACUGUUAUUACGUUGCGUUAUAUGUAAAGUGUUAACAUUUAAUAUUUAUUAUUAAUAUAUUUGUAUGUAUUAA
rnacentral:lncRNA from 1 species